rnacentral:rRNA from 1 species
GAUGAACGCUGGCGGCGUGCUUAACACAUGCAAGUCGAACGCAAAGGCCCAAGCUUGCUUGGGUACUCGAGUGGCGAACGGGUGAGUAACACGUGGGUGAUCUGCCCUGCACUUCGGGAUAUGCCUGGUGAACUGGGUCUAUUAUCCGAUAGGACCACGUCUUAGAUGUUGUGGUGGAAAGUUUUCUGGGGUUGGGACGAGUUGGCGGCCUAUUACCUUGUAUGUGGGGUAAUGGCCUACCAAGGCGUCCAGGGGUAGCCGGCCUGAGAGGGUGUACGGCCACAUUGGGACUGAGGGGAGGCCCAGGCUCCUACGGGAGGCAGCAGUGGGGAAUAUUGAACAAUGGGCGCAAGGCUGAUGCAGCGACGCCGCGUGGGGGAUGACGGUCUUCGGGUUGUAAACUCGUUUCGAGAGGGACGAAGCGUUUUUGUGACGGUACCUUGAGAAGAAGCACCGGCUAACUACGUG